rnacentral:ncRNA from 1 species
UGUUGCAGUAGUAACCUUACACAGCACGACAGGAACUGCAGAUUCUGACAUUGGAAGUCUUUGACUGAGGAGCCAACCAUGUGAAGCUCCCGUCUUUGGGAUUAUGAUCGGACACCUCUAAGUCAGAAUCCCCCUAAAAAGGGGACA